UACGAAGGGGGCUAGCGUUGCUCGGAAUUACUGGGCGUAAAGCGCACGUAGGCGGCUUCUUAAGUCGGUGGUGAAAUCCUGGAGCUCAACUCCAGAACUGCCCUCGAUACUGGCGAUCUCGAGUCCGGGAGAGGUGAGUGGAACUCCGAGUGUAGAGGUGAAAUUCGUAGAUAUUCGGAAGAACACCAGUGGCGAAGGCGGUUGCCUGGGGCUUUGCUGACGCUGAGGCGCGAAAGCGUGGGGAGCGAUCCGG
rnacentral:rRNA from 1 species